rnacentral:tRNA from 1 species
GCAUCCGUAGCUUAGUUGGAUAGAGCACUCGGCUACGAACCGAGAGGUUGGAGGUUCGAAUCCCCCCGGAUGCA